GUGAAGGAAGCAUUGAAGCAUUUUGUGGGAACUGAUCCUGAGGUCUAUUCUAGAUACAUUAAGCGACUAAAAGCCAUUCGUGUCACGCAGGAAUCAUCCGAGUUCUUCAGUGCACAUGAGAUUAUUGGCAGCUCUCUUUUGUUUGUGCAUGAUAAGUCAAAGCAGGCCAGUGUGUGGAUGAUUGACUUUGGAAAGACAAACCCUCUCCCAGAUCAUGUUAAGGUCAAUCACCGCAACCUCUGGGUGGAGGGCAAUCACGAGGAUGGGUACUUGUUUGGAUUGGACAAUCUGAUUUCCAUACUGGAGACAAUAGAACAGGAACUCCUCAGUGUAGCAGAGAGAGAAAACAGUAACAUUCCAUGUGAAUAGAAUCAUCAGCUCUGCUGCCAAAAGUGUUGUGAAAUAAAACCCCACUCCUCCCCCACCCCUUAAAUCUCAAGGGUCCCUCCCCGGGGAGGGGCUCUGUGUCUGGCUGCACAGGGCCCCACCCCAGCCAGUGUGCUCAGGGUCUGAGGUCCUGUGUUUAGAUGUAGUAUAGGGCAUACCUGAAUUUACUCUAGAAUUAAUCCUCAAACAUAUGAAAAGAUUGAAGGUAUGUGGAGGUGUGUGAUGCAUGACUGGCCAAGCUCUGGUGUCAAAGCAAUGACAACCGAACGAUGAUUGGAACAGUGAGGGAUUCACCACAAACAAAAAGUCAAAAUCACAAAUUAACUCCUCAACUCGGACAUUUUCUCAGUUAUGCAUGGGUGUGAGAUAAUAAGAUUAUAAUCAUGUAUUGUUUUACAUGUGCAAAAGAUGGUUAUACAUUUACUGCUUCUCUGUAAUCUGUAUAUUACCCACACAUGGUCUUUGGUUCUGCUCCAACGAAACAUUGUCUGGAUAUCUGAUUUUAAACGCAAUGAUGUACAUUUUCCCUCCAAUUUAGAAUUCCUUUUUUUGUGACAGGUAAAUCCUUAUUUCAUUUCCACACUUAUGUUUGUAAGUAAUAUAAUGCCAAGGUAUGUCAAUGUAUUGUUUUUUUUUAUGUUAAGAAAUCAAGAAAUCAAGAUCUUCCAAAGCAGAGCAGCUGUAUAUCCAAGUUAAUGGUAUUAUUAUAUUGUACUGACCAAUUCUGAUUGGUUCCUUGAUCUGUGGCCCUCGUCAGCCAGACCACGCGAGAUGAUGUGUAUCAUAUAACGUGUAUAGAUCUGUGAAUUUUUUUUUUUUCAUUAUUCUAUUAUGUAUUAUAACAUGUAUUGUUACCAUGUAGCCAGCAUACAUAACCAGUCUUGGACAGGUUUGUUAAUUAUGGAAACUGUUGAUCAGAGUGUAUCCUGUAAUCUUGUGGGUGUUUUUUUUUUUCUCUAUCUCAAUGCAAAGUUUUAUUGUGUAACUAUCUGAAAUAAGAAAUUUUAUGAUAAGUUUUGUUAUUAUGUCAAAGUACUUACAUGUAUAUGAUAAAGAAAUAUUUGAUUUAAAGCCAAUAGGCCAUGCCUUUACUUGCCAUAUUGGUAUAAUAAAAUCAGUCCACAUAUAUUAUUGUACACGCGUAUAUUUAAAAAAAAAAGGUUCAUUUUGAAUGUUUAUAUGAAAGUCAAAUCAUGUCUCAGUUAUACAGGGGAUGGUAUAGCCUCUGACCUAACCUCUGACCCCUCUUUUUUAUUGGAGGCUUGUGGACGACACGGGGCAAUGGAGAAAGGUGUCUGUCACAUAGCAACAGCAAAGUGCAAUAUUUGUAGAGUGCUUACCCCUCUUCCCCCAGAGGGGACUUUGUAAAGAACUAUCUACAUUGUAUAUAUACAUGUACAAGGUUUCUGUGUCAAUUUCAAGAAUGUAGACAGUGAUAAUGAAAUGUACACCAUUUGUGCUGCUUUUUGUUUUCAUUAAAAUUGACAUUUUCUAACAUAAGGAAAUAUUUCUUCAGUGUGAUGUAAUGUAAAGUGAGUGGGGUGUUUCUGGGUCUCUUUUUGUUCUGUUUUAUUGAAUAACUAAAAAUAUACUUAUAAAGUUUAAAACAUGUCAAGCAGGUGUCGAUUUCUUGGGAAGAGUGGAUGACCUUUGUAUAUAUAUACUGAAAUGUCAAAUUCAUGUCAGCAUGAUAAAUUUUCAUGUUAUAUUCUGCUUCUAUGAUGUUUUCUACAAAAUUCCGAAAACUUUGAGUUUGAAAUAUUUGAAUAAAGUUCAUAUAAUUUC
rnacentral:misc_RNA from 1 species